rnacentral:rRNA from 1 species
GGAAGGUGCGAGCGUUAAUCGGGAAUCACUGGGGCGUAAAGCGCGCGUAGGCGGUUAGGUAAGUCAGAUGUGAAAGCCCCCGGGGCUCAACCUGGGGAACUGCGUUUGAUACUGCCUGACUAGAGUGUGGUAGAGGGAAGUGGAAUUCCACAUGUAGCGGUGAAAUGCGUAGAGAUGUGGAGGAACACCAAUGGCGAAGGCAACUUCCUGGAUCAACACUGACGCUCAGGUGCGAAAGCGUGGGGAGCAAACAGGAUUAGAUACCCUGGUAGUCCACGCUGUAAACGAUGUCUACUAGCCGUUGGGAGGGUUUGCCUCUUAGUGGCGCAGCUAACGUGAUAAGUAGACCGCCUGGGGAGUACGGCCGCAAGGUUA